rnacentral:rRNA from 1 species
GUUCCUACGGGAGGCAGCAGUAGGGGAUCUUCCACAAUGGACGAAAGUCUGAUGGAGCAACGCCGCGUGAGUGAAGAAGGGUUUCGGCUCGUAAAGCUCUGUUGGUAGUGAAGAAAGAUAGAGGUAGUAACUGGCCUUUAUUUGACGGUAAUUACUUAGAAAGUCACGGCUAACUACGUGCCAGCAGCCGCGGUAAUACGUAGGUGGCAAGCGUUGUCCGGAUUUAUUGGGCGUAAGGCGAGUGCAGGCG